rnacentral:rRNA from 1 species
UACGUAGGGGGCUAGCGUUGUCCGGAAUCAUUGGGCGUAAAGCGCGCGUAGGCGGUCAGGUAAGUCCGGUGUGAAAGUCAAAGGCUCAACCUUUGAAUGCCGCUGGAUACUGCUUGACUUGAGUCCGGAAGGGGCGAGUGGAAUUCCUGGUGUAGCGGUGAAAUGCGCAGAUAUCAGGAAGAACACCAACGGCGAAGGCAGCUCGCUGGGACGGAACUGACGCUGAGGCGCGAAAGCGUGGGGAGCGAACAGG